ACACUCCUGACGAGUCCUAAACAGGACGAAACAGUUGUCCAGUGC
rfam:Echinostoma caproni strain Egypt genome assembly, scaffold: ECPE_scaffold0008886